CCUACGGGAGGCAGCAGUGGGGAAUUUUGGACAAUGGGCGCAAGCCUGAUCCAGCAAUGCCGCGUGAGUGAAGAAGGCCUUCGGGUUGUAAAGCUCUUUUGUCAGGGAAGAAACGGUGGGAGCUAAUAUCUCUUGCUAAUGACGGUACCUGAAGAAUAAGCACCGGCUAACUACGUGCCAGCAGCCGCGGUAAUACGUAGGGUGCAAGCGUUAAUCGGAAUUACUGGGCGUAAAGCGUGCGCAGGCGGUUUUGUAAGUCUGUCGUGAAAUCCCCGGGCUCAACCUGGGAAUUGCGAUGGAGACUGCAAGGCUAGAAUCUGGCAGAGGGGGGUAGAAUUCCACGUGUAGCAGUGAAAUGCGUAGAGAUGUGGAGGAACACCGAUGGCGAAGGCAGCCCCCUGGGUCAAGAUUGACGCUCAUGCACGAAAGCGUGGGGAGCAAACAGGAUUAGAUACCCUGGUAGUCCACGCCCUAAACGAUGUCUACUAGUUGUCGGGUUUUAAUUAACUUGGUAACGCAGCUAACGCGUGAAGUAGACCGCCUGGGGAGUACGGUCGCAAGAUUAAAACUUAAAGGAAUUGAACGG
rnacentral:rRNA from 1 species